rnacentral:sRNA from 1 species
CUUGUUCUUUUCUUCCUUGGCCAGGCCGCAUCCAGUCGUACUCCCUUUACUUUUCCUGACUGUAUUACAACCCACGACUUGAAUCGAACAACGGCUUAUUGUGUCGCCAUCAUCGAUCAUCGCUUGUUGUGGGUUGUGGAAGUCGUCGGAUAUUGAGUGAAAGAAAGAGAUCAAAAAGGUCCAGAAGUCCGCGAGAUACUGUACAGUACAGAUGCAGUCUUCUGGUUUAUUAGUGGUCUUCGGAGUUUCUCCUGCUUAUCCUCCCUCAGCCAUUUGCUAUGUAUCUCGCUCUCGGGGAUAAGCUUUCUACAAAGCAUGAUGCCGCAUUCUACCAUAGUAUCUUGGCAAGACGAUCAGUAGAAGAGUCCCAACAUUAAGGAAGGAUGCUGGUCGAAGGACGAAAGAAGUUGAAGGAAAGGGAGACAGACCGAAUAGAGAGCACGCUGAAUUGUAUAAAGACCUCUCCAUACCCUUUUAAAGAUCUCCUAUAGAAGGAUCAAUUUUCUUAUGUAUUAGAUAUAUAUCUC